rnacentral:rRNA from 1 species
CAGGAUGAACGCUGGCGGCGCGCCUAACACAUGCAAGUCGAACGGCACCCAUCUUCGGAUGGAAGCGAGUGGCGAACGGCUGAGUAACACGUGGAGAACCUGCCCCCUCCCCCGGGAUAGCCGCCCGAAAGGACGGGUAAUACCGGAUACCCCGGGGUGCCGCAUGGCACCCCGGCUAAAGCCCCGACGGGAGGGGAUGGCUCCGCGGCCCAUCAGGUAGACGGCGGGGUGACGGCCCACCGUGCCGACAACGGGUAGCCGGGUUGAGAGACCGACCGGCCAGAUUGGGACUGAGACACGGCCCAGACUCCUACGGGAGGCAGCAGUGGGGAAUCUUGCGCAAUGGGGGGAACCCUGACGCAGCGACGCCGCGUGCGGGACGGAGGCCUUCGGGUCGUAAACCGCUUUCAGCAGGGAAGAGUCAAGACUGUACCUGCAGAAGAAGCCCCGGCUAACUACGUGCCAGCAGCCGCGGUAAUACGUAGGGGGCGAGCGUUAUCCGGAUUCAUUGGGCGUAAAGCGCGCGUAGGCGGCCCGGCAGGCCGGGGGUCGAAGCGGGGGGCUCAACCCCCCGAAGCCCCCGGAACCUCCGCGGCUUGGGUCCGGUAGGGGAGGGUGGAACACCCGGUGUAGCGGUGGAAUGCGCAGAUAUCGGGUGGAACACCGGUGGCGAAGGCGGCCCUCUGGGCCGAGACCGACGCUGAGGCGCGAAAGCCGGGGGAGCGAACAGGAUUAGAUACCCUGGUAGUCCCAGCCGUAAACGAUGGACGCUAGGUGUGGGGGGACGAUCCCCCCGUGCCGCAGCCAACGCAUUAAGCGUCCCGCCUGGGGAGUACGGCCGCAAGGCUAAAACUCAAAGGAAUUGACGGAAGGGCGA